GAGGUGAAAGAUAGGGAAUAUGCCUGGCUCCCUGUAUGCCGCUCGCAUGGCUACCACCGCCUGUGGUCGUUGCGGCUGGCGUGCGAGGUGCCAGGCAUGUUUUAAUAAUUAUCUCC